GGGAUCAAAAGGAAAAUGGCACUACAGGCUCUCAGUCGUACAAAUGUUUCUGUAGCCAGCCCCCACGUCUUCAAUAAGCUGGUCUCCGGUCAGGUGUUUCUCCUGAUGCAGAACUUGAAGUCACAGGAUACUGCCCCAGUUAGUUAGAAGUGGAGAGUGGGUGAAAAAACCUUGCAGGUCUUGCCCCACUUGCACAGGCAAGCAAGAAGACUGUGACUAGUAGAGUGCACAGCCUACGGUCAGCCACCACAUCCUAGAAGCAAGAGCCCUUUGGGGACAGUCUCCAACAGCUGGCGCCAGCAAAACUCAGAUUGACAGAACUGGACUCCUCUGAGCUGAUAAACAGAGCAGGCAUUGAAGGAGUGUUUGACAAGAAGGAACUCUGCCAGUCCACUCCUAGUAAGGCAGUGGUAACAGAGCAUUGGGG